rnacentral:tRNA from 1 species
ACUAUUUUGGCAGAAAAUUGUAAUAAAUUUAGAAUUUAUUAAUGUAUAAAUUUAUUUAUACAAAUAGUA